AUGCGCGUCCCAAAAGACCAAGGAGGUAUGGGUAUCCGAGAUAUCCAUUGUGUUAAUCCGGCAUUGUUAGCCAAACAAGCGUGGCGUCUACUUGAUAAUCCUGAGUCUUUAUGUGCUACUAUCUUGGGAGCUAAAUAUUUUCCGGCCGGCGAUUUAAUGAGUGCAAAUCUAAAAAAGAGCUUCUCUUUUACUUGGCAAAGUAUCAUGACGGGAGUGAACUGUCUGAAAAACGGUUAUAUCUGGCUAGUUGGAAAUGGACAUAAUAUUAAUAUAUGGAGAGAUGCAUGGAUUCCUAACUGUGCGAAUAGGAAAAUUAUUACUCAUAGAAGGGGACAACUACUAUCAAAAGUCUGUGAUCUUAUUGACCCAGUCACGAAUUCUUGGGAUGAAGAUUUGAUGAGACAAACGUUAUGGCCAAUUGAUGCUCAAAGGGUAUUAGCAAUUCCACUUCCCAUGCGUAAUAUGCCUGACUUUAUUGCUUGGAGCCAUACAAAAAAUGGUAAGUUCACUGUUCGAUCAACUUAUUUGGAAGAAUGAAACCAACAACAGGGGAAAAAAAUUAGACACGCAAACGGAAUGGAUAGAACCAAUGUCAACCCUAUAUGGGGUAAGAUUUGGAGACUAUCCUGCCUAGCAAAAAUUAAAAUUUUCAUAUGGCGUACACUGCAUGGUAUCCUCCCAUGCCGAGUUACACUUGCCAAUAGACAUAUGAAAGUUUCACCCAUUUGCCCUUCAUGCUCGAAUGGACCGGAGGAUACAAAACAUGUCUUGUUUCAGAGUGAGAAGGCAAAAGAAGUUUGGGGAAAAUUAGGUCUACAAGAGGUGAUCCAUAAAGCCUGUAUUGUUGACCAUGCGGGAGAGGCGGUGCUAGAAUUCUUACUCCUUAUGAAAGCUCAAGAAUUAAACAUUAAGGGCAUCCAGAAUGCACAUGAGUUAAUAGCUAUUACAACUUGGUAUCUAUGGUGGGAUAGACGUCAACUGGUCCAUGAAGGAAAGUUACAUGAUGCAAAUCAAACUUCGAUGGGGCUCGUGCUAUAA
rnacentral:rRNA from 1 species